rnacentral:rRNA from 1 species
CCUACGGGAGGCAGCAGUGGGGAAUAUUGCACAAUGGGGGAAACCCUGAUGCAGCGACGCCGCGUGAGUGAGUACGUCUUUCUGUAUGUAAAGCUCUAUCAGCAGGGAAGAAAAUGACGGUACCUGCCUACUGAGCCCCGGCUAACUACGUGCCAGCAGCCGCGGUCCUACGGAGGGGGCAAGCGUUAUCCGGAUUUACUGGGUGUAAAGGGAGCGUAGACGGUUAAGUAAGUCAGAAGUGAAAACCCAGGGCUCAAACUUGGGACUGCCUUUGAAACUGAGUAGCUAGAGUGCAGGAGAGGUAAGCGGAAUGCCUAGUGUAGCGGUGAAAUGCGUAGAUAUUAGGAGGAACACCAGUGGCGAAGGCGGCUUACUGGACUGUAACUGACGUUGAGGCUCGAAAGCGUGGGGAGCAAACAGGAUUAGAUACCCUAGUAGUC